CUCUCCGGCAGUUUAAACGGCGGCCACGGUUUAGCGGGCGGUAACGGCCGCGGCGGGAGGACGGGAGCAGCCGGGCUCUGUCAGAAUCCCCCUCCCCCUCAGUUUUGCAGAAACCAUGGAGGGGCUGAGGACCAGGUAUGAUUGGGCCCCUCUGGAUGCUGAGGAGCUGAGCCCAUCGUCCACCCAGCGAGGAGGCGGCGAGGAGCAGCCACGGCCCCGUCACGGGGAGGAUCCCUACGUCGAGGCCUCCUUUGCUUUGGGAGUUCAUCCACCCCUUCCUCCUUUUCCUGAGGAUGGCAAGUCAUCCAGGAGGCUGGUGAUGAAGAGGAAGGUGCUGAGGCACAGACCUGACGGAGGAGUGGAGGUGUCUGAUGAGUCAGUGAGCAGCGAGCAGGAGAGCGACAGCGAGGUCGGGAGCCUCAGGCACAAGAUGCUGCAGCUGAGGAUGAGCGCGGACGACAGCAUCUCCGAGGGGGAAAUCGAGGGGAGCAGCGGUGAAUCCCUUCAGCAUUGGCCCUGUGAGGAUAAUCCCUCCUCUCUCCUCGAGGAUUUUGGGAGCCAGAGCUCUCUUCCUUCUCAACACAGCACCGUGGUGGAACAACCCAAGUCCUUCAUCCCUCCUCGCUUCGAACCUUUGGGCCGCAACCGGGGAAAAACCGACCGAGUGGCCAAAUACCUGGAAUAUAAACGUGAGUGGGAGAAAUUCCGAAUCCCAGGGCAGGAGCCACACCAGGAACUACGCUGGAGCAUCCGGGAACAGAUGCUCUGCAAACCUGACCCUCCUCUCAAGUCCACUCACGUUUACGUUCCCAACACUUACGUCGUGCCCACCGACAAAAAACGAGCUGCCCUGCGCUGGGAGGUGCGCUGGGACCUGGCCAAGGGCCUCCUCCCCCGAAAAUACACCUCCUUCUAGGUUCCUAAAGCCUCCUUCCACAUCAACUACCUUUGAUCCCCUCCCUUUUAUUUUCUUGCAUUUCAAGGGGGUUAAAUCUUGUGAUUAAGACUUUGCCGUGCCCCGUGAGGUCACUCUCUGAGAGACCAAGAUCAAGCAGCUGCACCCGGAUGAUGCUCAAGUUCCUUCACAGCUUGAAAACUGAGUGAGGAGCUGGGGCUUUGUGCCACCCAAAUCCAUGUUUUGGUGGAAAACAGAACAAAAAGUUACAGAGGGGGGAGAAAAAUCUCUCACUUCUCCUUUCACUUCCUAAAGCUGUUGGGUUUUGUUGUGAUGGUUUAGAAGACAAAAGAACCCUGGGGAUGGUCCUGGCUUGAGGAAUCCCCCCCGAGGGGCUCCUUCUGUGGGGUAACACACGUCCAAAAUGAGUCUGGGGAGCCUGGAGCUCCCAGAAAAAUGCU